UACGAAGGGAGCUAGCGUUGUUCGGAAUUACUGGGCGUAAAGGGCGCGUAGGCGGCUCGACAAGUUGGAUGUGAAAGCCCAGGGCUCAACCCUGGAAUUGCAUUCAAGACUGUCUUGCUUGAAUUCGGUAGAGGUUGGUGGAAUUCCCAGUGUAGAGGUGAAAUUCGUAGAGAUUGGGAAGAACACCCGUGGCGAAGGCGGCCAACUGGACCGACAUUGACGCUGAGGCGCGAAAGCGUGGGGAGCAAACAGG
rnacentral:rRNA from 1 species